UGGGGAAUAUUGCACAAUGGGCGGAAGCCUGAUGCAGCGACGCCGCGUGGGGGAUGAAGGCCUUCGGGUUGUAAACUCCUUUCGACAGGGACGAAGCUUUUGUGACGGUACCUGUAUAAGAAGCACCGGCUAACUACGUGCCAGCAGCCGCGGUAAUACGUAGGGUGCGAGCGUUGUCCGGAAUUACUGGGCGUAAAGAGCUCGUAGGUGGUUUGUCGCGUCGUCUGUGAAAUUCUGGGGCUUAACUCCGGGCGUGCAGGCGAUACGGGCUGACUUGAGUGCUGUAGGGGAGACUGGAAUUCCUGGUGUAGCGGUGAAAUGCGCAGAUAUCAGGAGGAACACCGAUGGCGAAGGCAGGUCUCUGGGCAGUAACUGACGCUGAGGAGCGAAAGCAUGGGUAGCGAACAGG
rnacentral:rRNA from 1 species